GUAGAGAGGAACCUAUGUAAUACUGAAGUAACAAGGUUCAGAAAAGUUAAGUGAUUUAUUUAAGGUUACACAGAUACUUAGUGUCAUUGUCUAGCUCAACUCUCUCACUGGAAAUGUAUACAAUGUUAGCAACAUAGGUUGAGACCUCUGAAUUUAUUAUGCUAUUUUAAACCAGAAUAUGACUAAUUUAAUUGGACUCAUCUUGUGGUAUAUAAAUAACUAUGAUUUUUUAAAAAAUACUUUUUUUCUAUAGAAGAAGAUAGGCAUUUUCAACUGAGCAGGCAAAUCUAAAAGCAUGAGGUAUAAGGUCUCACUUGCCCAGCCAACCAGACAGUAGCAUAAGCCUCUGCAGUUAGCGAGAUUUUUUAAUUGAUAUUCAGCAUACCAGUUUUUAGCCUGCAUUUUAAAGGCAGUUAUUUUCCUCCAUCAUCCUCUCUUCUCCACCCUCCAAAUUAACACUGGAUAAUUUUAAUGAAAGUUGGAGCGACAGAACUUUUGUAAAAUAAAUUGAUAUAGUGAUGCAAUAACAUAUUUUUUCUCUGCUGGCUUGUAUUUUAAAUUUUCUUAAUUUAAAAUUUCAAACAUUCAAAGUCCACAUAUUUGAACUUUCUUGAACUAUUUUAUUUCUGGAACUACUUAGUUAUCAUUUUGUUCCUUUUAAGACUGAAAACACUUUUUGUGAAAAGAGACAUAAUGUACAAAGCUAAUCUUUACAAUUUUUAUCAUAGAAGGAAGAGCUGAAGAUACUUAAAAAAUAUACAAAGACUUUCUUCCAAAUUUAAUUUUGUGAAACUUUUCAAAUGAGGUGAAACACUCAUUUUUUCAUCUCUUGCUAUGUAAUAUACACAGUAGGGUUGAAAGUACAGUGAAAAAUAGAGAAAGUAUUAUGCAAGUAGGCUUAUUGCAAACAUUUGCAUAUAGUAAUUAAUUUAAACUCUCAUAAAUUCUAUAUAGCUUCUACUGGAAACAAUGUGAAUAUUUUAGAAUAAAAACACCAACUCUCAGAAGGUAUGACAAAUAAAAUUU
rnacentral:lncRNA from 1 species